ensembl:lncRNA
AUGCUCUGGUGGGAUAGGACCCUGCUGGAUCCUCCCCUCCCCUUCACAUCCCACCAUUUCUCCUCGCAGGAAUGUGAAAUAAUCUGUUUUUUGGCUCAAAUCAGAGCAGCGGAAGGAACCCCCUCCCUCCCUCAGGCUGGGUUGGGAAGAACCUGGAUGGUUUUUGUGAAAACUGCUUGCAGCAGAGCCCUGCCACGGGAAAGUGGGAUGAGGCUGAGCAGAAGGGGCAGGGAGCAAUUGAGGAUGGUCCAGGAGCUGGAGUCAAUGCCCUCCUGGGUGACCCCAGGUCCUGCACGUCACCCCAAGUGCAGAGCUCUCGCUGCACGCCUGCAGAGGACUCGGGUGUGCAGGGAGGGUUUGGAAGAACAAAGGGCUGUCGAAAACCUCAUCUGGCUAAUCCCAUGGCGACCUGACAUCAUCCUCAGCGUGGAGAACAAGGUGGCAAGCCUGCGAGCACGCCGCCUCUACCCGGCCAAUUAAAUUGUGUCCGCUCCGUCAUGAAUUAUGUAUCUAUGCAUUUCCAUUUCACUUCUGCUGCUUGUUUUUGAUGAAAUUCGCCUCUGCUGAUAAGGAUUAAGCGACCUGCUUCAGAGCGUGGCACUGUGCUCAGCAAGGCUGGGGUGUUGCAUGCCCGGGGCAGGGUGAGUGCUGCAGAGGCUUUCAGCAUUCUCCUCCACUGCCUCCAGGAGCCGGGAUCAGAGGCAAAUGCAAACCAGGGGUGGGCAUCCAAGUGCGAGAGGUUUCAGGGAGGUUUGGGUGUCUUUUGCUGUCUGGACACAGUCCUGGAAAACUCUCAGUGUCCUUGCUUGAGCAGAGGUUGGACCAGAGGACCUCUCAGGAAUCAUAACCCAGGGAGGCUGGCAUGAAAUCAUCAUCUCUGUCUUCCUCUGCCUCUUGUCUUGCCCCUGGGGACAGUAGCCCAGCGUGCUGUCCCGUGCACAAGUCACAGCCCUGCUUUGGGCAGGGGACAAGCCUGCAUCCAAACCAUUAGGACACAUGGCCCUGGUUGGAAGAGGUCACCAGUUAAAGACAUGAGAUGUCACGGAGACAUUUGCAAAUAUUGGUCAAACGCAAACAGCUGAGUGCGUGUGGACCUGCUGGUGUCGUCAGAGACAGAAGCCAGGGAGGGUUUGUCCUGGUUAAACACUGUCUGGAGAGGAGGAAGGUGUGCGUGUGUCUGCCCUGGACAUGUCCAAAGGGUGGGCAGUGUCCACCAAGGGGCUCAAGGACAGCCCCGCUGCCAGUCCUCAGGAUCACUUGCCCUGUGCAAAGUCAGGAGCAUUCCUACAGCAGGAGCUCCUGCGAGGGAGCUCUCCACUGGGUAAGACGGUGGCAGGUGCCCAGAGAAAAGUGAAAAAUAGGGCCAGUGUUGGGGAACAGUGUUGUUUUCCUCUGCGCAGCUUUCAAGCCACUCUGCCCCAAGCCUGUAGAGUUGCAUGGUCCCUUGCUUGUCCCCUCUGAAGACAUGCCCGGGAGCAUG